ensembl:lncRNA
UGGGGCUUUGUGGGGUCUGGGGUCUCUAUGGGGUCUCUAUGGGGCUCUAUGGGGUCUCUAUGGGUCUUUAUGGGGUCUCUGUGAGGUCGUUAUGGGGGAUGGGGGCUCUGUGGGGUCCCUAUGGGUCCCUAUGGGGUCUAUGGGGUCCCUAUGUGUCUCUAUGGGUCCCCGUGGGUUCUGUGGGUCGCGGCGGGUCCCUGUGGGUCUCUAUGGGUCUCUAUGCAUCCCUAUGGGUCCCUACGUGUCCCCGUGGGUUCGGUGGGUCCCUAUGGGUCCAUAUGGGGUUUAUGGGUCCCUAUGGGUCUCUAUGGGGUCUAUGGGUCUCUAUGGGUCCCUAUGGGGUCUAUGGGUCUCUAUGGGUCCCUACGGGUCCCCUUUGGUUGGUUGUGGGGCGUGCGUGGGUCUGUGGGUCUCUAUGGGGUCCCCAUGAGUCUCUAUGGGUCCGUAUCAGUCCCUAUGGGUCCCUAUGGGUCUCUGUGGGUUCUUAUGGGUCCCUAUGAGUCUCUAUGGGGUCUGUGGGUCCCUAUGGGGUCUAUGGGUCCCUAUGGGUCUCUAUGGGUUCCUAUGAGUCCCUAUGGGUCCCUAUGGGUCUCUAUGGGGUCUAUGGGGUCUCUAUGUGUCUCUAUGGGUCCCUAUGGGGUCUAUGGGUCCCUAUGGGUCUCUAUGGGGUCUAUGGGGUCUCUAUGUGUCUCUAUGGGUCUCUAUGGGUUCUAUGGGUCUCUAUGGGGUCUAUGGGGUCCCUAUGGGUCCCUAUGGGUCCCCGUGGGUUCAGUGGGUCCCUAUGGGUCCCCUUUGGUUGGCUGUGGGGCGUGCGUGGGUCUGUGGGUCUCUAUGGGGUCCCCAUGGUUCUCUAUGGGUCCCUAUAGAUCUCUAUGGGUCUCUAUGGGGCCCUAUGGGUCUCUAUGGGUCUCUAUGGGGUCUUUGGGUCCCUAUGGGUCUCUAUGGGUCUCUAUGGGGUCUAUGGGUCCCUAUGGGUCUCUAUGGGGUCUAUGGGGUCCCUAUGGGAUCUAUGGGGUCUCUAUGUGUCUCUAUGGGUCUCUCUGGCGUCUAUGGGUCCCUAUGGGUCUCUCUGGGUCUCUCUGGGUCCCUAUGGGGUUUAUGGGUCCCUAUGGGUCCCUAUGGGGUCUAUGGGGUCCCUAUGGGUCUCUAUGGGUCUCUAUGGGUUCUAUGGGUCUCUAUGGGUCCCUACGUGUCCCCGUGGGUUCUGUGGGUCCCUAUGGGUCUCUAUGGGGUCUAUGGGGUCCCUAUGGGUCUCUGUGGGUCCCUAUGGGUCCCUAUGGGUCCCCGUGGGUUUGGUGGGUCCCUAUGGGGUCUAUGGGUCCCUAUGGGUCCCUAUGGGGUUUAUGGGUCCCUACGGGUCCCCUUUGGUUGGCUGUGG